rnacentral:misc_RNA from 1 species
AAGUCGUAACAAGGUUUCCGUAGGUGAACCUGCGGAAGGAUCAUUAACAAAAAAUCGUGCAGGGGGGAGGCCGGCCUCAUAAGCUGAGGUUUGAAGCCUCAGUUCUUGUGUCGUCGUGUCCCCCUCUUGGCCGUGUCCCCGGUGCCUUGCCCUGGGCUGAGGUUUGAAGCCUCAGUUCCUGGGGGAGAAAAGGCCUCCCGGGGACAUUACACCCGAGGGCGUUUUCCCUCUCUUGAAGGAGGGGGAGGAGCCCGAGGUAGUCGACUCUCCCG